ACUAGAGCCAGAAGGGCCCGGGUCUCCACAAACACAGUGGGCUCAGAUAUGUAGGGAACAGUGGGAGGGGUGCUCUAGGUGGCUGAGGCAGACAAGGGCCCACAGCCCAGCUCCCUAGCUGGCCAGGUGGGGCUUGCUAGCUGUGGGAGAAGGUAUGUGAUUCCUCAGGUGGAGUAGGCUUGGAACAGGUGAGGGUCACAUGCCUCAUCAAGCCCAGAUUCUGCAGUAUAAAAAGGCAGCAGAGCUGAGGUGCUGUGUUUGCUCAACUGCCCAUGUUGAUGGACCUUGACUUGGAGGCUGCUGGACCACUACGCAACUGUGCUUCAUUUUUGGACUUUGAACAUGGGGAAUUGACCCUGGACUAUAGACUUGACAUACUGACUUGCCACCAGGUAGGCCAGGGGUGCAGGACAUGUAAUGACCCUUGGGUGUGGUUCAUAUGGGUGUGUGGCAUACCUGACAAGUGCCUUGAAAGAAACAGCACGUGCUGGGUUUUUUUGUGGCAGAUUGUGGUGGCCAUUUUGGGUGCUGUGAUCUCUCGCACUGCACUCUUGACACACACACACACCAAGGUGCUUUUUUGGUGGCGCACAAGAUGUUGCCCUGAAAAAGAGCUUGUUUGUGGCGAGAGUGGAGUGUUGGUCACAUGAUUUGCCUGGGAGCACUUCCUGGAAGAUGUUUUAGGUCUGAAAAAGUUGGAUGGUAUGGUGUGGUUGCUCCAUGACAUAGUCCUUAAAAUUUGCAGGCCUUCUCAAUUUAGCCACACAGUGUGUGAGAGAGAUGGGUGUGGAUGAUGGGUGUGACAUGUUACAAUCCAGUCAGAAGGAAAGCUACCGGUAACUUCUGGUCAGCCUGUACCAUUUAUACAAAUGAAGCAGAUUGAUACCAUUUCUGACACUUUGCAUAAGUUAUUUGCUUCUGCUAAUCAUUCAAAAAGCUGAAGGCCUGGGCCUUGACAACUGGGAAUCCCUUCAUUUAUUUGUUUAAGAAAUGUAUGCCUGCUUCCAACUAUAUGUCUCAAUGUAGCCUAUGAAAAAAAUCAAAUGUAUAACAUAGACAUAAUGUAAAAUGUAGAUUAAAGCAUCAGAAAACAGAACAUUAGAACAUUAUUUAUGGCAUAAAGGCAACUCCAACCAUAUGGGUUAGAUUUUUUAAAGAAUGCAAUUCUCAGGAAGCUGAGUUUUUCAGCCUGCACACACCUAUGUAAUUCUGGCACAUUCAUACAUAACUAUGGUUACCACGCACCCUCCUGAAAGUGUUCAGCCUUAGAAAUCUGCAUUUGGUGACGAGGGCAUGAUAAUAGCUAGCUCAGUGUGUAACUGGAGAUUGCAGAUAAUGUUCCUGACUCCAUGCAGUCAGAGCUACUGUCUUACAGUCAAAGUAGAAGGGAGAUCUGUGGACUUGACAUUCUCAUCAUUUAUAUCCAUGCAUUUAUAUGAAUGUGGUGUACAGGGGGAAGGGGAGAGCAGUCACUACCCCCAAACAGAGUUUUAAUUAUGAGGAAUGAACCAUUUUAAGACACCCCUGAUAUCUCCCCCCAAAAGCAAUAUAGGGAGACUGAAAAUAGGGGCAACUGGAGUGUAUGCAGCAGUGAAAUAAUUUUUGUUUGUUUCCAGUAGGUUUCUGUCUGUUUUUAAAAAUAAAUUUGUUUAGGGUUUUGGUCCUGUCUGCUUAUAAGACUCGGUUGCGUGGUGUUCCCUCCCCCCACCUUCUGUUAAAGCAGAUUGUGUUGCUGCAUAGAUUUCAACACCCCUCCCCAAUCCUGCUUUGCUAAAGAGCUUUUAAAAAUGCUUCAUUCAGUUUACAGCAGGGGGAGAAAAACACAGAAAGAAGUGAAGUGUGCGCUAAACAUUAUUUUAUAAACUGCGAGGCAUUGUCUUAGUCUGAAAGGCUCGGGUAUCUUCCGAGUUGCCAUGGUGAGAGAGAAAAAUGGCUCAAACAAAUUCCUGUGGAGAACACCUUUUUUAUAAAGUGAAAAUCAUCGUUCAAUAGGCCCCUGUGCUUAAUAACUCAUGAAAACAUUUGUGGGCAUUUUCAAAGGCUGGGGUGAUGUUUUCACAAUGGUUUGUCUUAUUCCAUUGAACUGGUUGCACAGCUGAAAAGCAGCAGCUGUAAUAAUUUGAUUUCCUCCCUCUCUGUGUGAAUGUGGGUGAGGGCACUGGACCUUGGUAAGUUUGGAUCCUCAUGGGGGGGGAGGGGCCAUCGUUCAGUGACUGAGCGCAUGUUUUGCAUACCGAAAGUCCCCUAUUCAACCCACAGCACUGAAAGGACUAUAGGGAGCAGGCCUCAUGAGAAUCUUUGCCUGAGAUCUUGGAAGACUCGCUGUCAGCCAGCUAGUGUAGAACACACCAUUAUGGGCAGCCCCAAAGUCUGACCUGCAGUAGGAAACCAUGUUUGUGGCUACAUAGUUAUUGAAGAAACAAUAGGAUGUUCCAGGUUGCACAAAAUUCCACACAAAACUUUGGACUCCCAUAUCCUGCAACCUUUAGCACAAUGGGUCAGUGUGUCUGGCUGUUGACCAGUAGGUUGGUCCUUUUAGCCCACCCAGGGAUGGCUGUGGGCAGGGGCUGGACUAGAUGACCCAUGGGGUACCUCCCAACUCUACAACACAGGUGGUGCUGUGGUCUAAACCACCGAGCCUCUUGGGCUUGCCAAUCAGAAGGUUAACGGUUCAAAUCCCCAUGACGGGGUGAGCUCCCAUUGCUCUGUCCCAGCUCCUGCCAACCUAGCAGUUUGAAAGCAUGCCAGUGCAAGUAGAUAAAUAGGUACCACCGCAGGAAGAUAAAGGGUGUUUCUGUGCGCUCUGGCUUCUGUCACGGUGUUCCGUUGUGCCAGAAGCGGUUUAGUCAUGUUGGCCACAUGACCCAGAAAGCUGUCUGUGGACAAACACCAGCUCCCUCGGCCUGAAAGCAAGAUGAGCGCUGCAACCCCAUACUCACCUUUGACUGGACUUAACCACCCCAACUCUACAAUUCUAUGAUUCUGUGAUUUCUGAGGUAAAAACAAAGACAUCUUUGUGUGGAGAUUCUUGAAGAAUUUAUGGGGUGGGGGCGGUCUGCAUUCUGGUGUGAACUUGGCUUCCAGAUUAAUGUACAGACUUCUCUGAAGUAAAGCUCUGGAAUUCUACAAAGAAACGGUUUGCAAUUUCAUUUGCAAUUCUAGCUCCUUGGAGCAGCUGGAAAGCACAGCAAGUGGACCCAUGGGGACAUACAUAAAUCUUCUCUUUUUGCCAUGUCAUUUCCCUGAAUGGAUUUAUUUAUUAUUUAUUCUUAUUUAUUAUUGAAUGUAUAUCCCAACAUUUUUGAAUUAUGGUGCUGGAGGAGACUCUUGAGAGUCCCAUGGACUGCAAGAAGAUCAAACCUCUCCAUUCUGAAGGAAAUCAGCCCUGAGUGCUCACUGGAAGGACAGAUCGUGAAGCUGAGGCUCCAAUACUUUGGCCACCUCAUGAGAAGAGAAGACUCCCUGGAAAAGACCCUGAUGUUGGGAAAUAUGGAGGGCACAAGGAGAAGGGGACGACAGAGGACGAGAUGGCUGGACAGUGUUCUCGAAGCUACAAACAUGAGUUUGACCAAACUGCAGGAGGCAGCGGAAGACAGAAGUGCCUGGUGUGCUCUGGUCCAUGGGGUCACGAAGAGUCGGACACGACUAAACGACUAAACGACGACAACAACAUAUCCCAACAUUCCUCCCAAAGGAACCCAGGGCAGCAAACGACAAGUGAUAAAACAAUGAAAAACAUCUUUAGAACAAUUCCAGUGCAGAUGUAGUCCAGGGGAGAUCUCAACUUAAAAGUCUUGUUGGAAGAACUCCCUCACGCUGCACGUGGUCCACUCCCCCAGGAUACCGUGAUGACCAUCAACUUGAAUGGCUUUAAAUAGAGGAUGAGACAAAUGCAUGGAGGAGAGGGCUAUUAAUGGCUGCUGACUAUGAUGACUAUGCUCUACCUCCACAGUUGGAGAUAGCAAUGCUCCCAGGGAGGGGAGAGUGCUCUUGUGCUUUUGUUCUUUGUGCUGGUUUUCCACAGGCAUCUGGUUGGCUACUGUGAGAACAGGUUGCUGGACUAGAUGGGUCAGGCUAUUCAUAUGCUCUUAUGUUAAGAGGAAGGUCUUCAGUAGGCAACAGUGUUAGCAGAGAUGGUGCCUCUCAUGUUUAAGAGGAAGGAAUCCCAAAGGGUAGGUGGCACAACCCUAAAGGCCAAUUCCUGCAUUGUAGGGAAUGGAUAUCCUGAUGAGAUGGUAUCUGCAGGAGGUCUUCGCCUACAACAUGUAGUGGUUGAUUAGGUUAUAUAAGGGGGUGAAAUGAUAUUUCACGUAUCCUGGUCCCAGGCUGUAUAGGAUUUUAGACACCAACGCCAGUACCUUGAACCUUGCUCACUAGCUAAGUUGGCAUGUCAUCAUGCACUAUUUCCUUCAGGGACGUUUUUUGAUACAUUUUCAAUGUCUGUAGCUGAUAUUUGACUUUGGAACUAUUCCCCUUAGAAGAAAUGGAUGAAGGAAGCCGUUGAACACUUUGUAAACUUGUACGUACUUUUGUGUACAUAAAAUUUUGUGUGUUUUUUUAAAAGACCACACCACAUAUGUGAAAAUAGAAUGGAACACACUUUCUGUUGGUUGCUUUAAACAUCACCACAAACUGAAUUAAGAUUGAUUUGUGCAUUGUUUUGUGUCCUUGUGUUACCCUAAUUCUCACAUCAAAAAUCUCUUCCCAAGCGUGUUACCAAACGCUAAGAGUUCUGCUAGACUUUUGCCCUGCUUGCCUAUUAGUCAGUACAAAAGAAAUGUUCUUCAUUGGUCUCCGUGAAACGUUGUCACACUGAUUAUGAAAAAAGAAAAGAGGAUGCUCAGCCUAGCCACAAUUUGUGGGCCCCUGGGCUGACUUGCACACUACUUUUAAAAUUGUUUUUUAUGGAAACAGCUCCAAAGUUUCCUUAGAAGGUGGAAUGGGGGCAUGACAUUCCAAGGACUGUUGUCAGAAAAUCAGGACUGCUUCUGGUAAAUCAGGACAACUGGAGCACAUGCAGAGCUCAAGUGUGUUUGCUUAUUCAGAUGAUUUGGUGAAAGCAUUUGAGAAUGAGAGAGUGGGAUUCUGUUAUCUUGGAUGGUUUAUCUAAGCAUCAUGCUUUCCUUUAUAGGGUGUUAGAGCUAAGAGGGUGAUAACUUCUAGAUCUCCAUUGAUAGGCACCAGUGCCUGCAGUCAUGACACUUUGAUGCAGCACCAUCUUGUGAACACCAUCUGCUGCAAUUUGAUAAAUUUAGAAAGGAAUUUUUCUUAGCAGGCAGAACUUGGCAGAACUCUCUCCCCCUAAUCCUACAGACUGAACAGCCUCUGCCUAGCUGCUUCCUAAUAUGAUGGUACAUUGGUACCUUGGUUCUCAAACUUAAUCAGUUUCAGGAGUCUAUUCGACUCCCGAAACCAUUUGAAAACCAAGGCAUGGCUUUCCAAUUGGCUGCAGGAGCUUCCUGCAGUCAAGCAGAAGCCGCGUCAGACAUUCGGUUUCCAAAAAAGUUAGCAAACCAGAACGCUUACUUCUGGGUUUGCGCCAUUUGAGAGCCAAAAUAUAUAAGUACCAAGGUGUUUGAGAACCAAGGUGCGACUGUACUUGGGAUGGGGCAAGGUUCCAGGCAUGUAGGAAUUUGACAUGGAAUUAGGAAUGUGAGGAUUUUCCGUCUUACUGGUUUAUGUGACAUUAAUUUGCUCUGCCCUGCAUCCUGAAUUCCAUUUUAACUAAGUAUCCACACUUCUUUUUGGUUCCCUGACUUCAUUUGUACCUUUCCCUCUGCUCCACUACAGAUGCACAUGUGUAACUUGGUUAAAUCACUGUAAAAACGAUAAAUGGUAAUGCGACUGAGUGCAUCCAGGUGCUUUUCUUCCUGUGGUAUUUUACUGAUGCGCAGCUGCACAUUAGUAAAAUCUGAUAAGAAACAAUCUUAAGACAUUCAUAUGUUCAAUCACAUCAAGUCUGAGCUUUUCAUCUUUAUCAUUGCAUUAAACUGUUGCAAACUGUGUGCAGUUCUGUACAGCACUCAGUAGAUAUUUGUAAUUAUUUUUAAAAAGGUGUAAUGCAGUAUCUCCAGUUAAUUCCAUGGAAACAAGGCCAGGUACUUCAGAACUUCAGCCUGGCCAAAGAAAGAACAGUUGCAGAGAACUUGCUUCUUUCCCCCCUCCCUUCCAGAAAGAACUUUCUGCUCCAACUGCCAGUGGGACAGCAGAACCACAGAGGGAAGCACAUUCUGAGCCCACUGAGUAGCCAAAGGAAGACAGGCUGUGGGGUCAACUGGAACAUCUCUGUGCCUGUUGUGCUGUGACGGCAGAACUGAAGGCAAGCUGCCGCCUCUCACUUAAUGAGGCUGUGCCCCCUGAGCCGCUACAUCACAGAAACCAGGUGUUUCACCCCGCGAAUGCCAAGCCGCCCAGAUUGGAUGAGAAAUGACACUGCAGCCUCCUGAUUGGCUGGAGGGCAAGGAGGGAAGGUGCUGGAAGGUGGAGGCCUCUUCCCACCCACCCUCCCCCCUCCCCACCAAGCCCACACACUCAUCCAUGGCUUCCCCUACUGCAUUCCACAUAGCAGGAAAGGUUUGCCUUCAUGGUGAGUACCGGCACCCAUUUUUUCCUAGAAAAAACCUCUGGUUCUGACUAUACACAAUUUUGGCUUUAUGCGCAGUCCUCAGAACCUAACCCAGGUUUCCUCAACCUCGGCCCUCCAAAUGUUUUUGGCCUACAACUCCCAUGAUCCCUAGCUAGCAGGACCAGUGGUCAGGGAUGAUGGGAAUUGUAGUCUCAAAUAAGAGUAAUAAUUUAUUAUUUAUCCCCCCCCCCAAUCUGGCUGAGUUUCCCCAGCCACUCUGGGCGGCUUCCAAUCUAGUGUUAAAAACAAUACAGCAUCAGACAUUAAAAACUUCCCUAAAGAGGGCUGCCUUCAGUUGUCUUUUAAAAGUAAAAUAGUUGUUUAUUGCUUUGACAUCUGCUGGGAGGGCGUUCCACAGGGCAGGCGCCACUACCAAAAAGGCCCUCUGCCUGGUUCCCUGUAACCUCACUUCUCGCAAUGAGGGAACCGCCAGAAGGCCCUCGGUGCUGGAUCUCAGUGUCCGGGCUGAACAGAUGGGGGUGGAGACAUUCCUUCAGGUAUACAGGACCAAGGCCAUUUAGGGCUUUAAAGGUCAGCACCAACACUUUGAAUUGUGCUCGGAAACGUACUGGGAGCCAAUGCAGUUCUCUCAGGAGCGGUGUUAUGUGAUCCUGGCAGCCACUCUCAGUCACCAGUCUAGCUGCCGCAUUCUGGAUUAAUCACAGUUUCCGGGUCACCUUCAAAGGUAGCCCCACGUAGAGCGCAUUGCAGUAGUCCAAGCGAGAGAUAACUAGAUAACAAAACACCUGGAGGGCCGAGGUUGAGGAAGCCUGACCUAACCCCUGCACAAGUUGCGAAUCAACUGUGUUUCUCAAGCACAGUCAACAGAACACAGGACGCAUUACGUAUUUUUGCAGGCAAACUCCCCCCAAACCAGGUCCUACACACCAAGGAGCUUCCAGUCUAAAUCUUGACAGUGGGGAAAUGAUGAAGGGGAGAGGAGGAGAGACAAGAAGUGCAUGACUAAGUAAAUACUGUGAUACAUAAUGAGGCCUGGGGAGUACCUGUGUGCUACGCAAUAACAUGUGUAAGACUCCACCACAAAUGCUUCCCCUCCUCACCGUAAAGCAAAGCUGCGUUGGAAGAAGGGAAUUUAGAGUGGAAUAGGAGAAGCCGUAUUUAAAGCUACCCCUGACCGUGGUUUCCCUGCUCCAAAUUGCCCCCCUGGCUUUCCCCUGCAGAGUUCAAAACACAUGUUUGUGAAAGUAAAUGUGUUCAUCGGGAUUUGGCAUAAUAAAACUGAUAUGUCUGUAGCGGAGAUGCGCCUUUUAGACCAUAUGGAAUACUUUUAUACAACUGGAGUAUUUGUCAGGGUUAAUUUCAUUCUCUGAUCAUGGCUUAUUAACAGACAUUCAUAUUGCUGGCUAUCAUUAAACAGUAGCUUAGGGAAAUUAAGAGAGUUUCCUCAGUAAGUAAUUAAAAAUGGGCAGACUUUUAAAUAUACGCUUUAUGUAGGCUCUCUCUAUAGGGAGAGUUUUAUCCUUUCUGAAGCACCCAGUCAGAGCCCCUUAAAUAUUUCCUCUUCUCUAUGCUCUGUUUCAUCAGUUUCAUUUUGCUGAUACAAUCACACUUUUGCUUUCCCAAUUAUGCAUGUUAUGCACCGAAGCAUAAUAUGUGGGCAAAAUCCAUACAAAAUGAAGCAAAAGUUCAUUUGGUUUCAAUGGUUAAGUAUGUAUUUACAUUUGUUCAAUAAAAUCAAUUGAGUUUAGGCUUACUAGGGAAUAAGCACCACUGAACACGAUGGGGGGGUGGGUAGAAAGCUGCCUCAGGUCUAGAGCAGCAAUGCCUAUGAGGAAUAAUGGCAGAAGUUCUCCAGACUGAACCUGAAAUUUUACCACAAAGCUAUAGACUUUCCACUAGAGGCUUACUUUUGAGUAAACAUACUUACGAUCAUAUUUUGCUUAAGGGGCACCACUAUGCCACCCCCAUAGCAUAAUGGUUAUGCAUGGCAUCUUAGAAAAACACUUUGUUAUAACAGAGUGAACAUUAGGUACCAUCAGACUCUCCAAAUGCCCCCAUUUUCUAGGGACAGUCCUGGAUCUACAAAACCAUCUCUGAAUGUCCCACUUUUCAUUAGGAGGUCCCUAUUUUCAACAGAGAAAUGUUGGAUGGUAUGGAUGGUAUGGAGUUAAGUCCCAAGCCAAGGAGAUAAAUAGCACUGCAACCUUAAGAAGAUAUCUGAAGGCAGCCAUGUAUAGGGAAGUUUUAAAAUGUUUCAUUAUGGGUUUUUUUAUAUGGUGGAAGCUGCUCAGAGUGGCUGGGGCAACCCAGUCAAAUGGGCAGGAUGAUGAUGAUGAUAGAAUAGGAUAGGACACCCAUAUUUUCAAUGGAGAUAUGUUGGAAGGUAUUACCCCACUUCAUAUUCAGUUUAUAUACUCCUUCCCCAUGUAGGAGGAUUAUCCCUGUUACUGCUGGCAAGGAUUCUUCCUGUGGGAUCCCAAUACAGUGGUACCUCUGGUUAAGAACUUAAUUUGUUCUGAAGGUCCGUUUUUAACCUGAAACUGUUCUUAACCUGAAGACCACUUUAGCUAAUGGAGCCUCCCGCUGCCGCGCGCUGCCACCGCGAUUUCUGUUCUCAUCCUGAAGCAAAGUUCUUAACCCGAGGUACUAUUUCUGGGUUAGCGGAGUCUGUAACCUGAAGUGUCUGUAACCCGAGGUACCACUGUAAUAGUAUCCCCAUUUCAAUAAAUGUAUUAUCUUUUGCCUAUCUUCUUUUACCCAAUAAAGAAUGACAGUUUGUACAUAGCCGCUUCAGUGCCAUUACCCCAAUCAAUGAUUUUCCUAACUUGGAACUAUUUUUACGUCAACAUACUGUGGAACACUUGUGUAUCUGUUGCACAUCCCCUAGGCAUUGCAAAAGGUUUUGGAAUACAUCAUAGGAUUUACUGUCAACAUGGUAUGUUGCCCUUAGGCCUAUGGGGCUUUGCUAUUCCUCUGCAUGAUCUGAGAGGGCAGCCUAGAAUUUCUGCAAGGGCAGAAAAAAAAUUCCUCCUUCUACAUAGACACUUAAUGGCACAGGAGCCCUUUCCUUCUUUAGUAAGGGUCAUCCUAAUUAAUAGCAGAGUUGGGAAAACCUACUACCACAGAAUAAAAUUUCCCACUGGAUUUUUGUAGCCAAUUGUUUCAUGGAAUUUUGUGGAUUGAUUCUAGUGGAAAAGGGUUCUUGGCUACACUAGAACAACCAAAAGGCCUGUACAACACCUGGAUGCUGUCAUACAUCAUACAAUCCUUGAUGAAUCUUGGGAAAUGACUCUGCAGAGGUGAUACAAAAGACUUCAUAUGCUGAUGAAUGCAACUGGGGAUGCAAAGGAUGGAAAGGAUCCAGAUUGGAGUCUGCUGUGGGCUUCUGUAAAUCCAACCCUGAACCUCAACAUCCACUGUUGAAUUCUGAUUCUCUCCUCCCUCUCUCCCUGAGUAUGGAGGCAACCUGCAUUAAUAGCAUGCAAUUUGGAAGGUUUUAUGUUGGAUACUACACAACAUGGACUAACAAAUUACGGCCUCGUAGUUCAGAGUCUAUAGUUUACAACUCCCACUGCAGAAGCAUUUUAGUAUUAAAGCUUCUUAAAUGGAAAAGCAGCAAGCCCCAUAUUUUUUAAAACGGCAACAUUGACAACUAGACAGAGUAAUAUGUUGGUGCCAUAUAGUUUUUACAAGCGGCUCACAAAUACAGGAGGGAAGGUGCUGAAAACAUAAACUUGGUGGUGCUGGGGAGGGAGGGAUUGGAGCUUCCUUCUCCCUAAAGGUUUGUGCCACUUAAGACAAAUCCCUCUUGCCUGGAGUUGGCCUGAAAGUAUAAAUAUUUAGAAGGUAUCACUCCAAAGCGAGGGUGGCUGGGAUGCCUCUGGAAACUUGAGCAAAAAGCAAGUUCAGUCUUAGAGAUUGGGCUGUUCUUCACCUGCAGCAUAUAUUACAGAACCUUACUUUCCUGACUUCCUGUGAACAUAACAAAACUAAAAUCAUCUUAAACUACUUUAAUGUCAGUAAUCACCACCAACCUCAAUAUAAUCUGAGUAUGUGUUACUGCAAUUGCUCUUGUACAUUCCUCCUUCUUACCCUGCUUCUCACCUCUUUUUUUGCCUGAUUGUCAGUCCAUAGAAUAUUGUAAACUCCUUGGGGCAUAUAUAGAUACUUUUGAUUUUGCUUGCACCUAAUAAUAAUAAUAAAAUUAUUAUUAUUAUUACCCCACCCAUCUUACUGGGUUUCCCCUCAGAACCCAUGAGUUCUGAGCCAAGCUCUGAAGUAGGAAAUAAGCCAUGCUGAAGGAAAAUUGUGGUGGGGGGCACUUGCAAGGAAGGGUGAAUCAUCCCUUCACAUCCUUUUCUCUACAAACACCGCCUCACCCCUGUAUUCACAUUAUCUCAGCAAACCUGCCUGCCCGCGGACUGUCUCGCCAGAGUGGUGCAUGCUCUAGUUAUCUCCCGCUUGGACUACUGCAAUGCGCUCUACGUGGGGGCUACCUUUGAAGGUGACUCGGAAACUACAACUAAUCCAGAAUGCGGCAGCUAGACUGGUGACUGGGGGCAGCCGUCGAGACCACAUAACACCGGUCUUGAAAGUCCUACAUUGGCUCCCAGUACGUUUCCGAGCACAAUUCAAAGUGCUGGUGUUGACCUUUAAAGCCCUAAACGGCCUCGGCCCAGUAUACCUGAAGGAGCGUCUCCACCCCCAUCGUUCUGCCCGGACGCUGAGGUCCAGCGCUGAGGGCCUUCUGGCGGUUCCCUCAUUGCGAGAAGCAAAGCUACAGGGAACCAGGCAGAGGGCCUUCUUGGUAGUGGCGCCCGCCCUAUGGAAUGCCCUCCCACCAGAUGUCAAAGAGAAAAAUAACUACCAGACUUUUAGAAGACAUCUGAAGGCAGCCCUGUUUAGGGAAGCUUUUAAUGUUUAAUAGACUAUUGUAUUUUAGUGUUCUGUUGGAAGCUGCCCAGAGUGGCUGGGGAAACCCAGCCAAAUGGGCGGGGUAUAAAUAUAUUAUUAUUAUUAUUAUUAUUUUCUUAUUUUAUUUUGUUUGCACCUAGUAAUAAUAAUAAUAAUAAUAAUAAUAAUAAUAAUAAUAAUAAUAAUUUUAUUAUUUAUACCCCACCCAUCUUACUGGGUUUCCCCUCAGAACCCUUGAGUUCUGAGCCAAGCUCUGAGGUACAGUGGUACCUCAGGUUAAGUACUUAAUUCGUUCCAGAGGUUAGCGGAGUCUGUAACCUGAAGUGUAUGUAACCUGAAGCGUAUGUAACCUGAGGUACCACCGUAGGAAAUAAACCAUGCUGAAGGAAAAUUGUGGUGGAAGGCACUUGCAAGGAAGGGUGAAGCACCCCUUCACAUCUUUCUUCUCUACAAGCACCGGCUCACCCCUGUAUUCACAUUAUCUCAGCAAACCUCUGUUUGGAAGCCCAUGUUUGCCAACACAAUGUUUGCCACCCUGCAACAUAUUGCCCAAGAUGCGGAUAGCUCAGCUGGUAGAGCAUGAGACUCUUAAUCUCAAGGUUGUGAGUUUGAGACCCACAUUGGGCAAAAGAUUCCUGCAUUGCUGGGGGUUGGACUAGAUGACCCUCGUGGUCCCUUCCAACUCUGCAAGUCUAUGAUUCUAUGCUGUAAUAGUCAAGCUGGCCCUGGUGGGUAUUGAUAGCUGCUAAUGCAGGUUGAGCAAACACACAUUAGUUCUUGUAUUGCAGUAAACUGCUUCAGUCUGAUGGCAGAUUUAUAAUAAGGAAUUCCCUUUCCAAUUUGCAUUGUAGAACGGACUGCAAAGGCUUUGCCACUAGAAAUACAUGGCUAUAGCCUCUAUUCAGUGAAAUCAGAAGUGACAUGCUACAAAUGGUUUCUAGCUUCAAAUUACAAGUCCCCAUUACUGUCAUCUAUGCAAAUGUUUUUCGACAGCUGCUCUUAGUAAAUCAUAAGAGGACGUGAAAUCUUCAAGACGGUUUUCAUCAUUUGUCUAUUUUCUUUUCUUCUUUUUAAAAUGUUUAUAGUCAUCGUGGCUUUUCUUUCCCAUUUGUCUUGUUGCACUCUGUGAGCACGGUUCAACCUGGAAGGCUAAAUUUAUUGGUCUGGAAAAUGCUCGUCAGAGAGAAAUUUGUCACAGCUUAGCCUAAACAUUUUGCUUGAUGAGUUUUCUCGCAGAAAUUGUUGUGGCUUGGUGUUUCCUUACGUUCCGUUUAGACGAGAACUGUGCGCUUAAGACAAAGCUGAAACACAUGAUCGACAGUCUCGCUGGAUGUGCUUUUCUUAUGCUGAGCCAUGCCAUCUCAGAAUGCAGGUGGCAGCUUGUGUGUCUGGAUGCUGCCCACCCCUAGGUUAGCCUUUAGCUGUGGUGGAAGAACCUAUACUGCUGAUCCGCCCUCCAAAACUCUGACUGGUGCUCAGGGCUGUCCCCACACAUCAUCACACCUUCACACCAAACAUACCUCAUGGAUGGAGAAUAGAGAGGUGUACAUGAGUGUCUACUGUACAAAGUCCAAACCUGCAUGUGUUGUUCUGCCCCCUUCUGCCUCCAACCCUAACCAUCAUUGGCAUUUGGCGCAUGAAAGGUUUCAGCUAUUGGAUUGAAGGAAAUGAGGCCCUUGGGAUGAACAGUGUUUGCCCCCCCCCCCCCCGCUGUUGACAAUAUCAUAGUACAAUUUGGUUACCACUAUGAUUGGCUUUUGUAUAUGUGCAGUGGUACAGCGGGUUAAGAACUUAAUUCAUUCCGGAGUUCUAUUCUUAACCUGAAACUGUUCUUAACCUGAGAUACCACUUUAGCUAAUGGGGCCUCCUGCUGCUGCUGUGCCGCCACUGCACAGUUUCUGUUCUCACCCUGAAGCAAAGUUCUUAACCCGAGGUACUAUUUCUGGGCUAGCUAGCGGAGUCUGUAACCUGAAGCGUCUGUAACCUGAGGUACCACUGUAUCAGGGUGGGAGGGUCAUUGUGUUGUCCUUAGUGUUAGGCAACAAAAUGUCUUGAGAUGACCCUGGGACAGGCACGCCAACUGUAUAGGGCUGAGGUGUCUUUGUUUUACCCUCUCAGUAUUUGUUGGCAGGGGCUGCGGACCCUCAGUGUUGAAGGGGUGGAGGAGGCUGAGCAUGGAGCUGAGUGCAGCACAGGCUCCUCGUGAACAUGAGAGGAGCCACCACUGGCCACUGAAGGCACACCAUGCUGGGCUCCAUGCUUGGUCUCCUCCUGAUGAUGCGUGUGCUGGGUUCAUAACAUCAGGCACAUGACCUGACACCAGGUCCACUCAAUCUGGGGUGCAAUUCAGUACCUCUGCCCUGGGAUCAGGUUGAAGGAGCCAGCCAAGUGCUUUCAGUAAUUCCCUCUUUCUGGGCUUGCGCACCGAUUAUGACGCACUAAUUUCAUGAGAGUUGUGCUUGCACUGAGAAAAUGAGGAGGAGGCAAGAAACCUCACCAUCAGUUUGUUAAUUAGGAGUUUGCUCAGUUCACGUCUGAGGUGGCGGCUUUGAACCUAUGAUAAGCUUAGCAAGUAAUGUACUAAAGUUAAGUGCAUUGCCAUACAGGAAACCCCUUUAAGUAACUGCUUGUACCCUUGUUAACUGACAGCUCAGACUUGAGAAAGCCAGCAUUGUGGCAAAAGCACCAAUAAUAGCACUGGGAUAACCUUCUAAUCCCUCUGCACACUUCUAGAAACAAUGCUUUAGAAGACUCCAGCUGUCAGUCUAGGUCUGUCAACGUAAGAUGCCAAGACAGAGAAGGUUAGACGUGUGGUAAUUUAUUUAUUUUUGAGGAGGAGAGGAGGGUGAGGAAUAACAGAAACCUACCAAUUAUUCAAUGUCUUACUAUAGGCUGAAUUUGACAUUAGCAACCAGCAUCAAACUGCACGUUGCAGCUUUGGUUAUUUAACCAGCCCAGCUUAACUUGGUGUGUUUAAUCAGUUAAUAUAUCCCCCCUUUUGUAAACAAUUUACAUCCAUAGCAGCUUCCAUUUAAUAAAAUGAAAUAACACCAAUCACUAAAUAAUUUUAAAUGAAUAAAAACGCCAUUCAAAACUUUUGCAGUUGUAACUGCAAACUAUAAGAGCAACAUAUAAAACCAUUUCAAAGAGUGGUAAAGCCCUUAAAUAAGUGAAUAACCAUUGUGCAAUGGAUCAGACCAAUUAAAAUUCAUAAAAGUCUAUUAAUUACAACAGGCUUUCUCCAGAGUAGGGCCAUGCAAGCACGUUGUCUAAAUCCUGAAUCAAAUUGGGCUGAUUUGUACCAAAUCUGAAUCACAUCAAAACAGAUACAAUAGCUACAUACCAGGCUCAGUGGACCCACCAGAUACAUAUUAGGCUCGGUGCCGAUAUCUAGACCUCAAAACAAUCUCUGAAAAGGUCAGCCAGAUGUCUCCAAAGUGUUAUUAAUGACAAUACCAGGGUAUGGGGAGGUGGAAAGCUGGAUUUCACUAAUUGGGAGGUGCUGCACAGUUUGGUGGGAUGUUGCUCCUGGCUGCGCUGCGUCUCCCAUCAGGAGAGAUGUUGUUAAUCGUAAAUCCAAAUAAAUGCAGAUGUAAACUUCUCUGGUUUAAUUCAAAUGGGGAGGGGAGGUGGAUUGACAGCUAAAUUCUGCUCAAAUGUGGAUAAGCCUUCAAAAUGAGAAAUCUAGUUCUUGCGGAGGUGGUAAACCUAUGUCUUGAUAGUAACCACUUCAGAGAACAGGUAUGGGUUCACAUGAUAGAAUUCUCCCUCACACAAACCAAGAUUCCUGAACAUGGAAAAGUAGCAUGUUUAUUCUGCUGAUGAUCUCAGAAAAACAUCUCUGUGGCUCUACUUUGGUUUCACUUCUUCCCAUUAUAACUUUUGCAGUUGAUUUUUUGGCAGCGGGUUAUAGGCAUUUGCAGGCAAUCUGCAGCUCCUCUGAACCACAUAGACGGACACACAGCUGUGAUUCAGCAAGCCAUAGUCUUUGAAUUGGAACAGUACUAGGGGACUUUUUUUUCAAAAGCCUUGCCAAGGUUUCUGUCUGCCCUGCUGUGCCAAUGCUGGUUAGUGGCCUAGCUAGAACUACCUUAGGGUAUCUUUUGUUUGCAUGGCCGUAUUUUCCAUACAUCCCCAACAGGAACUAUGAUUGCUGCUCUUUUCAUCUGGCUGUCAAAUGUUUGCAUCCUGCAGUUACCUUGAAUAUCCCCUCAUUAUUUCCCAGCCAUGCGUACAGUUCAACAUUGAGCCACAUAUUUUUGUCUCAAAUGUAUGCAUUGUGUUUUGUAGUUGCUCUCCCUCUUGAAAACUGAUGCAUAUUUAGAAAAACACAUUGUGUUUAUAAAAAUACUCAAAGCAAUUGGCAAUGAAAAUUAAAAAUUAAAAGCUAAGAUCAACAAUGAAAUGUGCAUACCAUAAAUAUUUAAGUUAAACCACCAUUACAACCAAUAACUAAGGAACUUGACAGCAAUAGCUGGGGAAAGCUCUUAAGAACAAAAAGUCUUCAUGUGUUGUUGAGAAGAAGAUAAGGAAGUAGUUUGCUGAAAUGCCCUUUUUAGAACGUUGUGCAAAACUUCCUAUGUACCUUUGUAUUUUCUGCUGUGACAAAUUGAGUUUUACUGAAACUAAGGGUAGUUUGAAACAAGACAACUUCAAACCAUGGUUCAUGAAGAUGUUUUGCUUAAACCAAAUUCAGAUUCAUCUAAGAAAAUAAAGUGGUAUUUGGGUGCUUUUGGCCUCUAAAAUAAGUUUGUGGUAUGCUUUUGUAGGCAAAGAUCGAACCAAUCCAUUGUAAACUGCUUAGUAAACUAUUAAUAGAAGAUUGGUACUUGUGUUUUUUUUGGUUGGGGGGGAGGAAUGGCAAAGCAGUGGCAGGCAAAAUAAAAUAAAAUAAAUGUACGAAGAUGUGGGUUUCAUUUGUUUCUGGGAAAAGGAAGAUGGGGAAAGGUGCAUUCUGGUGAAUGUGAUUAAGUUUUUGCCCCCCUCUGAACUCUGUAAAAUACAUCACAAAAGAUCUCUCUGCAGAAGUCAGUCGGUUCACUGCACGAGAACAAUGCAUAAUGAUUGCUUUUCUGCUAUUAUUGUUAACAUCAACAUUCAUUUAUGCACAGUGCUUUGUCAAUAGAAUGCUUUUCGGAAUCAACUGACAAACUAGAGCUGGUCAAAUUGGUGCUGCUGUUACUGGUUUGGCACAUGUCUCCCUCACCACCCCCGGUGUACGUUCAAUAGGGAAAGAAUAGUCUCCUCUCAGGUUGCUACCUAAUUUCAGCAAAAGCAAAAUUCACGGGGAAUUUGGGAGGUUCUGUUUUGGCAAAGCACCUGUCAUUUUCAUUUGAAGCUGAAACUUUCAGAUCAUUGAAAUUGUUCCCGAGCAGUGCUAUUUUUCCAGAAAAAGAGAUGCCAGAAUUCACCAUUAACACUUUCCUUGUUCUCUUAUAAUGGCAAUGGCGCCCACCUGAGGGGUGCCAGAGCUGAGUUCUAGCAAGUUCCAACUGGAAAAAAGCCCUGUCCCCAAAGAUUUCUGCAGCUUGAGCCUCCCACCAAAUUUCUCCUGUGGUGCAAUUCAGUACAAAGUCAGCUCUGCUGCCCGAAGCGAUGGCUUCACCUUGCCUAAUGCCUGGGCUGCCCCUGCUGGAGAUACACUGGAUAUAUCAAAUGAUGCCUCCACCUGGUGUCAGGUAUGAGUGUGGCUGCUAUUAUUGUGUGCUGGCCAUGCAUGUGGCUUUGACAUGGAGGCGCUAGCUCACACAUCUGAUGCUUCCAUGCAAUUUCAGCCUGGUCUUAAAGUUGCCAAUGUUGUUGUUGUUUAGUCAUGUCCGACUCUUCAUGACCCCAUGGACCAGAGCACGCCAGGCACUCCUGUCUUCCACUGCCUCCUGCAGUUUGGUCAAACUCAUGCUGGUAGCUUCGAGAACAAUGUCCAGCCAUCUUGUCCUCUGUCGUCCCCUUCUGCUUGUGCCCUCCAUCUUUCCCAGCAUCAGGGUCUUUUCCAGGGAAUCUUCUCUUCUCAUGUGGCCAAAGUAUUGGAGCCUCAGCUUCAGGAUCUGUCCUUCCAGUCUCCAACACCAUAAUUCAACACCAUAAUUCAUAAGAGUCUCCUCCAACACCAUAAUUCAAAAGCAUCAAUUCUUCGGCGAUCAGCCUUCUUUAUGGUCCAGCUCUCACUACCAUACAUCACUACUGGGAAAACCAGGUUGCCAAUAACCCCAUGCAAUUCCAGGGAAGCUACAAACCAUUUGAAGUGUCCCUGUGCCAGUUUAUUUACAUGCUCCCACGAGUGACCUUAUCAUAGUCAUUAGUGUUGUUUAUUUUGUUAUUUAGGGUUUUAACUCGAUCCAUCCAGGAAGUUACAAGUGGUAAUAAUAUUUUUAAAGGAGAGGGCUGGCACUUGUGUCUGAAAUGUUGGAGAGCCACUGCCAAUCAGUGUAAACAUGACCAAACUAGAUGGCCCAUUGGUCUGACUCAGUGUAAGGCAGUUUAAUAUGUUCCCAUGGAAGGAGUGGCUUAUAAUAGCAUUUAGGACCUUGUCUAUUGAACCCAGAACUUUGCAUUCUGCCUGAAACCCCAAGCAAGGUGUAUUCACUUAGGAAGUCGGAAUUCAGGGACUUAGUGCUGCAAAAAGUGCAGCAGCCUCCAAACCGUCUUCAAAGUUAGUCAUGAAUACAGUAUCACAGGAAACUUAUCCAUGAGAUUAUGGAUUAUUUAUUUAGUCAUCAUUUAUUUAUUUCAUAAAAUUUAUAUACUGCUGGAUUGUAAAAAAAAAACCUUCAAAGUGGUUAUGUUUGCCUGUUUCUCAUUCCUGGCCACCAUUGUAACCUGCAAUUCCAAAUGCAAUGUUGCAGUAAGAGGAAAAGCUUUCUGAUCCUACCUCUUUGCCAAUGGUGGUUAUUUCAGUUCUCCUAAAAUUCAUUAAUUCAUUAAUUCACCUGGAUUUGGCUUUAAUUUGGUUGCCCUCAUCCAGGCCCCUGCAGUUUUCAGAUAUGCAAUCAUCUUUCCAUAAAAGAAAGAUUAGUGCGUGUUUCGAGUGUGAGCAGCUGCUGUCUAGCACCCUUUCCUUUGGAGUAAAGGUGUUGAUAACGCCAGGUGUCAAAAGACCAAGCUUCUCCUGGCUGGUUUUCAGCAGCCAGAAUUGGGCCUGGGUCCAAUUUGCAUGUAGUCAGUUCCCAGUAGACUGACUGAGUUCACUGUUUGCUUGAACUUGUCCUCCCAGUGCUCUGUUAAUAGCUGAUUUCCAAUAAAAUAUUCACAGAAAGGAAAAUCCUAAGCUUGUGAAAACUGAGGAGGAAUUCUAAAAAAUAUCUUAACAAGUAUUCAGGACAAAUUGUUCACAUUCUUUGCUUAGCUCCAUAGAAUUAGUGUGGUUGCUUUGCAACUUCUCACUGGUACUGUAUGAUUUCAAUGCUUGAUAAAUAUGUUUUGUCUUCUGCUAAUCCACCCACCAUUUUGUGUGACUAGACUUCUAAAUAGGUUGAAGUAAGAUAACCUACAUUGUUUGAAUAAGAAAAUGUUUUCUUACAUUUGUUCUACUUAAGAGGCUUUCGUGAUGUUUCUUACAGGUUCUUCAAAAGUAGAAAGGAAUCAAUGGGCAGAUGUGAUGCUUGCAGAGACAAUAUGUUGCAGAAUAUAGAUGUCUUGGAGAAAGUAAGUGGAAACUGUUGAACAAAGGCUUUCCCUAAUGAAGAGCUGAUAUCAUUCACACAAUUAUUGCCAUCACAGUUGUGCCUUAGGUGAAAUUAGAAGUAAGCCUAUUGGCUGCUCCUCAGGAGAAGCAUCUGAGGAAUUUUAGAGUUUUGAUAAAAUGAAUGCAAUUUCUGAGAGGGGUUUUGCACAUCCCUGGUCAAAAUGUGUUGCCGC
rnacentral:lncRNA from 1 species